rnacentral:rRNA from 1 species
CAGUAGCCGCGGGAAUACGAAGGGUGCAAGCGUUACUCGGAAUUACUGGGCGUAAAGCGUGCGUAGGUGGUGGUUUAAGUCCGCUGUGAAAGCCCCGGGCUCAACCUGGGAAUUGCAGUGGAUACUGGAUCACUAGAGUGUGGUAGAGGAUAGUGGAAUUUCCGGUGUAGCAGUGAAAUGCGUAGAGAUCGGAAGGAACAUCUGUGGCGAAGGCGACUAUCUGGGCCAACACUGACACUGAGGCACGAAAGCGUGGGGAGCAAACAGGAUUAGAUACCCCUGUAGUCCCUGUCUCUUAUAC